GACGAACGCUGGCGGCGUGCUUAACACAUGCAAGUCGAACGGAAAGGCCCUGCUUUUGUGGGGUGCUCGAGUGGCGAACGGGGGAGUAACACGUGAGUAACCUGCCCUUGACUUUGGGAUAACUUCAGGAAACUGGGGCUAAUACCGGGUAGGAGCUCCUGCUGCAUGGGGGGGGUUGGAAAGUUUCGGCGGUUGGGGAUGGACUCGCGGCUUAUCAGCUUGUUGGUGGGGUAGUGGCUUACCAAGGCUUUGACGGGUAGCCGGCCUGAGAGGGUGACCGGCCACAUUGGGACUGAGAUACGGCCCAGACUCCUACGGGAGGCAGCAGUGGGGAAUAUUGCACAAUGGGCGGAAGCCUGAUGCAGCAACGCCGCGUGCGGGAUGACGGCCUUCGGGUUGUAAACCGCUUUCGCCUGUGACGAAGCGUGAGUGACGGUAAUGGGUAAAGAAGCACCGGCUAACUACGUG
rnacentral:rRNA from 1 species